CUGAAACAUCUAAGUACCCAUAGGAGAAUAAAACAACAGUGAUUCCGAGAGUAGUGGCGAGCGAAAUCGGAGCAGCCCAAACCGGCCUUGUUACGGCACGCCCGGGGUUAUAGGACUGCAUUUAGAAGUAUAUUUUAACUUGAAUGACUUGGGAAGGUCAACCGUAGAGUGUGAUAGUCACGUAAGGGUAAAGAAUAUAGGACGAGCAGAAUCCUGAGUAGGUGGGGGCCGGUGAAACCCCCUCUGAAUUCGGCAGCACCAUCUGCCAAGGCUAAAUACUACUGAGACACCGAUAGCGAACAAGUACUGUGAAGGAAAGGUGAAAAGCACGGAGAGUAUCCGGGUGAAAUAGAACCUGAAACCGUACGCCUACAAGCGGUCGGAGCCAUGCGAUAUGGUGACGGCGUGCCUUUUGCAUAAUGAUCCUACGAGUUACGGUCACCAGCAAGGUUAAGAUUUUAAGAAUCGGAGCCGAAGCGAAAGCGAGUCUGAAUAGGGCGUUAAGUUGGUGGCUGUAGACGCGAAACCUAGUGAUCUACCCAUGGUCAGGUUGAAGGUUGGGUAAGACCAACUGGAGGACCGUACCGGUAUACGUUGAAAAGUGUUCGGAUGAACUGUGGGUAGGGGUGAAAGGCUAAUCAAACUGGGAAAUAGCUCGUACUCCCCGAAAUGUAUUUAGGUACAGCGUCGGCGUUGAGUCUUAUCGAGGUAGAGCUACUGAUUGGAUGCGGGGGAGUCACAUCCUACCAAAUUCAGACAAACUC
rnacentral:rRNA from 1 species